GGAGCAUGUGGUUUAAUUCGAUGCAACGCGAAGAACCUUACCUACUCUUGACAUCCAGAGAAUUCGCUAGAGAUAGCUUAGUGCCUUCGGGAACUCUGAGACAGGUGCUGCAUGGCUGUCGUCAGCUCGUGUUGUGAAAUGUUGGGUUAAGUCCCGCAACGAGCGCAACCCUUAUCCUUGUUUGCCAGCACAUAAUGGUGGGAACUCCAGGGAGACUGCCGGUGAUAAACCGGAGGAAGGUGGGGACGACGUCAAGUCAUCAUGGCCCUUACGAGUAGGGCUACACACGUGCUACAAUGGCGUAUACAGAGGGCUGCAAACUAGCGAUAGUAAGCGAAUCCCACAAAGUACGUCGUAGUCCGGAUUGGAGUCUGCAACUCGACUCCANGAAGUNNNAAUCGC
rnacentral:rRNA from 1 species